CUGUUCGCCGCCGACACCCUGAUGCCCGGCGGCGUCAUGGGCGGCGUGUUCGGAUCGGGAAGCAUCGCCGACUACAUCCAGUCGCUGGAACGGCUGAAGGGACUGGACUCGAAAAUCCUGCUGUCCGGCCAUGGCNNNNCGGACACCCCUCAUGACGACGUGAGGAUCGCGAUUCAGCGCUCUCACGCGCUGCUGUCCGA
rnacentral:misc_RNA from 1 species